rnacentral:rRNA from 1 species
UGGGGAAUAUUGGGCAAUGGGCGCAAGCCUGACCCAGCAACGCCGCGUGAAGGAAGAAGGCUUUCGGGUUGUAAACUUCUUUUAAGAGGGACGAAGGAAGUGACGGUACCUCUUGAAUAAGCCACGGCUAACUACGUGCC